rnacentral:rRNA from 1 species
AGUAAAAGUCGUAACAAGGUUUCCGUAGGUGAACNUGCGGAAGGAUCAUUAAUGAACUUUGAAAGGGGUUGUGGCUGGCCUUUUCGUCUGAGGGGCAUUUUGUGCACACCCUGAUUGUUGUCCGUUUCACACCUGUGCACACACUGUAGGUUGGCUUUCCGGGUGAAGCCUUUCACAGGCUUUGCUUUGUGGCCCUCCUAUGUUUUUAUCACAAACUACCCUGUUCAAAGAAUGUCUAUCGCGUGUAACGCAUCAUAUACAACUUUCAGCAACGGAUCUCUUGGCUCUCGCAUCGAUGAAGAACGCAGCGAAAUGCGAUAAGUAAUGUGAAUUGCAGAAUUCAGUGAAUCAUCGAAUCUUUGAACGCACCUUGCGCUCCUUGGUAUUCCGAGGAGCAUGCCUGUUUGAGUGUCACGGAAUUAUCAACUCUCUUUGCUUAUGCGAAUAGAUGUUGGAUUUGGAGGUGUAUUGCCGGGAAUACAUUAUUUGUGUUCGGCUCCUCUUGAAUGCAUUAGCUCGAGCCUUUGUGAAUCAGCUUUGGUGUGAUAAUUGUCUACGCCUUUCUGUGAAGCGUACUGUGGGACUCGGCUUCUAACCGUCCGUUGAACGGACAAUACCAUAUGACCUCUGACCUCAAAUCAGGUAGGGUUACCCGCUGAACUUAAGCAUAUCAAUAAGCGGAGGACAAGAAACUAACAAGGAUUCCCCUAGUAACUGCGAGUGAAGCGGGAAAAGCUCAAAUUUAAAAUCUGGUGGUCUUUGGCCGUCCGAGUUGUAGUCUGGAGAAGCGUCUUCCGCGC